rnacentral:tRNA from 1 species
UAGAUACUGCUUACAAAAAAGAUUAAAUUGAAAAUUUAAUUAAUAAGUAAGCAUUAGC